rnacentral:rRNA from 1 species
UAAUACGUAGGGGGCGAGCGUUGUCCGGAUUUAUUGGGCGUAAAGCGCGCGUAGGCGGCUGUUCGAGUCGGUAGUGAAAACUCAACGCUUAACGUUGGGCUUGCUAUCGAUACUGGGCGGCUUGAGUCUGGUAGGGGAGUCUGGAAUUCCUGGUGUAGCGGUGGAAUGCGCAGAUAUCAGGAGGAACACCGGUGGCGAAGGCGGGACUCUGGGCCAGUACUGACGCUGAUGCGCGAAAGCGUGGGGAGCAAACAGGAUUAGAUACCCUGGUAGUCCACGCUGUAAACGAUGGGUGCUAGGUGUGGGGGGUUGUUGACUCCUUCCGUGCCGCAGCUAACGCAGUAAGCACCCCGCCUGGGGAGUACGGCCGCAAGGCUA